GACGAACGCUGGCGGCGUGCCUAAUACAUGCAAGUCGAACGCUGAAGGAGGAGCUUGCUUCUCUGGAUGAGUUGCGAACGGGUGAGUAACGCGUAGGUAACCUGCCUGGUAGCGGGGGAUAACUAUUGGAAACGAUAGCUAAUACCGCAUAAUAGUAGAUGUUGCAUGACAUUUGCUUAAAAGGUGCAAUUGCAUCACUACCAGAUGGACCUGCGUUGUAUUAGCUAGUUGGUGGGGUAACGGCUCACCAAGGCGACGAUACAUAGCCGACCUGAGAGGGUGAUCGGCCACACUGGGACUGAGACACGGCCCAGACUCCUACGGGAGGCAGCAGUAGGGAAUCUUCGGCAAUGGACGGAAGUCUGACCGAGCAACGCCGCGUGAGUGAAGAAGGGUUUCGGAUCGUAAAGCUCUGUUGUAAGAGAAGAACGAGUGUGAGAGUGGAAAGUUCACACUGUGACGGUAUCUUACCAGAAAGGGACGGCUAACUACGUG
rnacentral:rRNA from 1 species